rnacentral:rRNA from 1 species
AUGAGACAUCGUUCCCGAGUGCCGUGGCUGCGGAAAGGAGACCGAAACACAGCCUACUAUCAUGCACAAGCAGCGCAGCGGAAACGUAUGAAUAGGAUUGCCAAUCUUCGUCGUGCGGAUGGAUCUUUUUGUGCAUCUGAGGCUGAAGAUAUGGCGGAAGUACAGUCAUUCUAUCAGAACUUAUAUUCCUCUCAAGGGUAUAAUGAUAUGAGUGAGCUGUUGAAGUAUGUUCCCGAGCAUGUCACCGGGGAAAUGAAUAUGAUGCUGGAUAAACCAUAUGAACUGGAGGAGGUCCGAGUUGCACUGUUUUAG